AUUUUUCGUGAAAAAAAUGUGCGAUUGUGGUGAAAUUAAGGACAAUAUAUUUAAAAAAUGGCAAUACUUUUAUCUUUGAAAAAAAGAGAGAUAAUUUUGGGUUAUGAUCUGUUUGUUUGACAGGAGUGAGGAUUGAAUUAUUAAUCCUUUAAAAAUCUCUCCCCUUUUGUUUUUGAUUUAGUUUUUAAUUCAUAAUAACCUUAAAAUUAAGAGUAAAAUUGACAAAAGUUUGUAAAAAAAAUAGUAGCUAUAGUUGAGGUAUAUGAAUGAUUUGGGGUUCUGAUUUGUUUGGUUACAAGAAGAUGAAUUGAAAUUAUGUUCCUAAGAAUUGGUUUGACUUCGAUUUGAAAUAACUGGAAAAGUGAAUUUUUUGGUUGAGCAAGCAAAUAUACUGAAUUAAAUACAUGAUUAUCUGCUUAGCUUGAAUUAAUACUCCAAAUAUCUGGCGUGCGCAUGUAUGUCCUUUUGAAAUCAAUUUAGUUAUUGGAAUUUGAAGUAAGGGUUUUGUGUGUUGUGAUUUCCCUUGUAUAGGAGCGGAGCUACUCAAGGCUGUAAAAUAAAUAACCAAGUGGCUCUACGUCUGUAAUUUUGUAACGGUUGUAUAAAAAAGGGAACAUGUACAAAAUGAACGCUAACAGUAGCACUAUCAUGAGGUAUGUCUUUCUUUUUUGAUUUUUCAUGUCUAUCUAAUUCUCCACUUGGUUCUUUGUCUACCCUUUGUUAUUGAACUUUCUUUCUCUCUUUCUUUUCUUUUCUUUUUUCACAAGCUUGUUUUUGGAAGUAAAUUUCUUGUUGGAGUAGUGGCAAUAUUUGGAUGGAAAAGUUCUCGGCUCUCACAGUAUUUACUAUGCAUGUUUUUUUUUUUACUCUAUUAUGUAAGCACUUCUGCAGGCAUGUUAUGCUGCUUUCAGGGAACUUUGUGUUCUGUACUUCUAUGGCUUAUUCUUCAUUCAAUAUGUCUCUUGAAUAGAAACAUUUCGCGUGUAGCUUUGCAUAUAUAAUUGAGAAUCUAUAAUGAUGCCUGAAAAAGCUGGAAGGGGUUCAUUUACUGACCAUGAAUGGAAAUGAAUUAUUCUGACAUCGUUCAAAAUAGUGGCCUUGGAAAUACUAAUUGAGUAAGUCGCAUUGUCAAUUGAAAGGUUUAUGUGACAUUUUCUUACAGAAAUAUUAACACAUGCUGUUCCUUGGACCAAUGAAUGUUAGAGAACCAGUCUACUCUUAACAUUUUCAGUCCUCUGCUCCACCAGCUGUGCUAUUCAAGCAUUUGCAACACAUCUGGCUCCUCAUUUUUUUAGAACUCAUUGGUUCUUUUGUCUGGACCUUUUGUUGAUGGAAAGUCAUACAUGUGAUUUUUGUUGUGAUGAAGAAAGGGUGAACUUUCAAAGCCAUCAAUGUAUGUGAUUUGAGUCGUGAUAAAGAAAGGGUGAACUUUCAAAGCUAUCAAUGAAUGUGAUUUGAGUCGUGAUAAAGAAAGGGUAACUCUCUGUACUCAAACUUAUGUACCUUUUCCUCCUAGUUUCACUUGCUUCUGUCAACUAUUUGGGAGUGUGAAAACCAAAGGUUUCCAGUUUUAGAAGACUCUGUUUGGCUGUUCAAUUAAACCUCUCAGUUCCGUGACCAAAACUUCUUUGCUGCCUGUGGCUGUGUAUUUGUUCUGUUCCUGGAAACACUAUCUUCCUCCAUCUCUGUAGUACCAAUUACAAUAUCUUAUGUUAUUGACUAAAAGAAUAAAGUUGCCAGCACUAAUUCCUUAUUGAAUUAGUGGAUCCAAAAUUCUUCUUUCUUCUAGCUGUAUCGUCAUAUAGAACUUUAAAGUGAUUGAAAUAGAUAAUUCAUUUGUUAUAGGUGUCAAGGCGAGUUAACAUCAGAUCCAUAUUUCAAUAUAUACUGUGAAUGGUUAAUUUGACUUCCAUGAGGUUAGUCUUCUUGUGAAAUUUUUUAGGUAGAAGACUUUGCAUGUUGAAUAUCCUAUUUGUUUAUAGGCAUCAUGGCGGGUUACCUUUUCUUUUACAUAUUAACAAAAACACUAAAAGGUGUAAGAAAUACAGUAGAAGAUACUAUGCACGUUCUAAAUUUACUAUUCAUGUGGAAUGACUUUUGUGCCCUUCCAAGAAAAAAUAAGAGGCCUAUAAGUUGGGGAUAUUUUGGUCUUUUCGCAUGACCCAUUAGUCAUUAAUGAUUUGACCAGGGGUAUAUGUGACUUUUCUAUUUUUUUAGGAAUAAUGAAAUGAAUUCACUACCCUUUUGAUUAGGUUUUUUUAAGCUUUUAGGCAAGGGUGUUUAAGUCUUUUUAUUUUUUAAAAUACAAUGAAAACUCAUAUUUGCUCUUAGAACCAAAAAAAUUAAAACAUGGGUUCAAGGCUCUUUUGGCCUUUUCAUUUUGGUUUUUUUUUUGUUAAUUCCAUAGCCAUCAGGGGUGAUUUGGUCCUUUUAACAUGAUUAAUUAAUUUUAAAAUUCAAAAAGUUGCUCACGCGCGGCAGGCGCCUCCUGAUGGACAAACAUUAGGGGUCAUCAUUUUCGGUUUAUUUUGGUUUUUAUAAAAAAAAUAACCAAACCGGUUUUUUUUUUUUAAAAAAAACCGAAACUGAACAAAAACCGGUUUUUUCCGGUUUGGCUCGAUUUUUUCGGUUUGGCUUGGUUUUUUCUCCGUUUGGCUUGGUUUAUUUUCCAGUUUGGCUUGUUUUUUUUUUUUAGUUUGGGUUCAGUUCGGUUUUUUCAGUUUCAGGCUUAUAAAACUGAAACCGAACCGAACCGGUUGGUUUUUUAAAAAUUCUAAUCGGUUUUUUUAACGAUUCAGUUUUUUCUGUUAUUGUUUUUUCCGGUUUUCUCGGUUUAAUCGGUUUUUUUGCUCACCCCUAACAAACAUGCUUGUUUGUCGUGUUGUGGCAUGUGUCGGCAGCGGUUGGGUGGUUCGUCGUCGAUAAGCCUUUUUUUUUCUCUCUCCUUCCUUAAAAAAUACAGCUUGGUCCUCUCUGUUUUUGAUAUUUCAAUUUAAAUCCUUUUUUUAUUUCUAAUUUUUUUUCCUGUCCUUUUUAUAAAAAAAUUGUUUGUUUUCAGUUUAGUCCUUCAAUUUCAAUUUGUCAUGUAUUAUUUUUUUCUAAUUUGGUCUUUAUUCUUUUGUUUUUUAAUUUUUUUCUUUGGCCUUUUUGUAAAAGUUUUAUUGGUUUUCAAUUUUAUCUUUCAAUCCAAUUUUAUGGUGUUUUAUUUUUUUCGAUUUGAUCAUUAUUCUUUUGAUUUUUUUUCUUUUGUUGUUUUUCUUUUCAAUUUAACCUCUAAUUUAUUUUUUUAUUUCAAUUUUCACCCCUAUUCUUUCAAUUACCAUUUUUUAUUUUAUAUUCUUUUAUGUAAUUGAUUUACCCCCGAUCUCAUCCUUCUGCUUGAUUUGUUGGGCAUUGGGUUUCAUGGUUUUUCCAUGUAUGGUGAUUCUUGUCUAAUGACCUUUUCACGAGUUUGAAAAUUUAACUCUGACCAACAUCCUUUUUUCGGCUUAUUUUCUUUUCUGAUUUCAUUGUUUGAUAUUAGGUAUUUGUUUUUUAAAAAGAUUGGCUUUGUGAUUUAAUUCAAUUUCUUUUCUCUCGGGUUAUCGUAAUCUCAUGACUUGAACCACGAGUUUUGCCAGUUAACCCAAGUUGGAUUGUCUUUUAUUAUCCAAGUUACAUGUUUAUCACUCUUUCUUGAGUUAACUCAAGCCGAUUUAUUUUCUCUCCUUUUUAUCUAAUUUUGCGUUUCCAAAGGUAUUUUUCCAAGUUAUCGUGAUUUUUUUUUAAAUUGUUCGUUUACAAUUGUUGUCUAUUUUUUAUAGUCUAAUUAAAAUAAAACCAACUUAUUACCCGAUCGGGGCUAUAACCCGAGUCAUUUGUUUUUCUUAUUUCUUUUAAAUGCGUUUGCGACACUUAGACUAUCAUUACCUUAUUUUUAUUUUUUUAUUCUAAUUUUGGUUUUUAUUUUGGUUGAUAUAUUUUUUAAGUUCUCUUUUUGUUAAUAGUUUUUUUAAUUAUGUUUCAAUCAAUUCAAUCCUCUAUGAUUUUUUAUUUUGAUUAUUUAGUCUUUUUUGAAUAGAGGCUUUUAUUAAAUUAUUUUGUAUUUAGGCUUUUCCGAUGUGUUUUUUAACAUAAAAAAUUCCAAGUGUAAAUCGAAAAGGUUAUGCAAGCAUUUAAUUAAAAAAAUCGAGAACCAUUUAGGUAAAUAAAUUGAAAAAAAAAAUCAUUAACAAUAGGAUGUUGAUCAAGAUAUUUAAUCAUAUAAGAUGGAAUUUUUACCCAAAUAGUGUUUACUGAAUUCGUUUAUUCAAAUAAUUUUUUAUUCAAUCAUAUAAUAAUAAAAAUAGACACACAUGUGAAAUUGAUCGAACAAAAUAAAAGGGGAAAAAAAUUAUGCAAGGUUGCACAUGUCAGAAAUAUCAUCUAAAAAUAAAUAUUUUUUAUUUUUAAAAAUAAAUUUCAUCUAUAUAAAACAUGAAAAAAAAAAUUAUAGAUGAAUAAGAAUAAUAUCUUCAAAAAUUCUAAUUUUUUGCCAGAAAAAAAUAUACAACCUGUAGCGGAGCGCAUGUCAAAUGACUAAUGUAUACAUGUCGGGGGUGGUCAUUUCAACUUCACUGUGGUUAUUCUUCAAAUGAAAAUUGUUUUUGGUUUGGAGACUGCAGGGGGGGUAUUUUGUAGGCAUAUGUUGCUUGAAUGAAGACCAUUCUCAUAUUUAUAAAUUGAUCAUUGCUCCUCAAAGCUAACUGGACCUUUGAAGGCAGAUAACCUACCAUGCGUUCCUCUUCAUAUCAUCAAUCGCUAUGGUUGUCCAUGUAGUUAGACCAUGAUUUUGAGGUACUUUAAGUCUGUAUUUCUGUUUCAAGAACCAACAUUAUAUAAAUUUCAGGUAAAGAGGACCACAAUGAUUUGCCACAAGCUUAUAAAAAAAACAUAUAGCAUUUUCUGAUAUCUGUAUCACACAGGGUUGAUUGCAUCCUUCUGCUUGAAUAUAUUUGUUGAUCUGUAGCCUUUUGUGUAUAUUUUGAUGCCAUAUGCAUUCAUUUUAUAUGUGAUCAAAUUUCCUGACAAGUGUUUGUUAUCCAGGAUUUGCCAGUCAUCUUCAAUGGCACUGUGUCUUUGAAAAUGGUUAAAGGCUAGAUUUGUUACUUCUUUUUAGUUUUGAACUUUUAGAUUUAGACUUCUUGAUAAGGAUUAAUCUAGUUGGUAGAAAUGGAAGCUAGGAUCACCAAGGUGUUGGAUAGUAGUCGUAGAGUUAUGCCUGGAGUUAAGAGAAAGCGAGCGUCCCGCAUGGUGUUGCCUGAGUGGCUCACUCUGAUUUCAAGUCAUAAGCUAGGGAAGCGCAGGAAAUUGGAUGGAAGCCAAAGCAAGCCUGUGAGCUGUGGGCAUCAUUCUAGACGAUCUUUACUCCGGUCCUAUUCAAAUUUUAUGAGGACUGGGAUGCCACAGCGUCUGAUGUGUUAUCAGAAUGGAGAAUGGAUUGAUUUCCCAAAGGAUCUUGUCGCUUUGAUUAGGAAGGAUCUUCAAGGGAAGAAGGCAUUUGUUGAGGUUGAGUUGGAGGGGCGCUGCUAUGUGAUUGACUUCUUGCACAUGUUGCGUCUGGACAUGAAGACAGGUAUUCAGCAACCAAUUGCCUGGAUUGAUGAAGCAGGUAGCUGCUUCUUUCCAGAAAGCUAUGCUGAUGAAGAUGAACCGUAUCUUUGCUGCCAGCAUGAUUGUGUGAAAGAUCAAGGGCCCAUUUUCAGGGAGCCUCUUGGGCCCCAUGAGAUCAAGCUGCAGCUUGAAAUUGAUAUAAAUGGAGGGAAUCAAUCAAAAUUGAAGGAGUAUAGUGGAGAGUCAAAUGCUCUUGUCAAGCAUAUCCAAAUUGGUCAAAAGCCUAUGAGUGACCACUAUCAUGUAGAAGUGGAGGAUAGUUGCAACAGGAAACCUGGUGAAAAAAUUGAUGAAGAUAUGGAGGAAAAUCAACAGAUUGAAGCAAAUUUAGUCACCGAGUCUUUUAAGCAAAUGUUGGAUUCUGAUACUGUAAAGAAGUUGUUUGUUACAGUUAUGAAACCUUUUGGUGGUGCAGACAUUGUAGAUAUUUAUCGCUGCUCUAGUACUUCGAUGCAAGCUCGAUUUGAGCUUUUCCUGAAGCAGAUUGCACUAACAGAGAAAUAUCGUGGAGAUGCAAAUGUUCGAUAUGCCUGGCUUGCUUCUUCCAAAGGAGCACUCUCCACAAUCAUGUCGUAUGGACUUGGACAUUGUGGUCCAUGCACAACAAAUUCCAAACAUGGCAUUGGUGUUCAUCUUUCUGCAGCGAACUGUUGUCACACCAGGUUGGAUGUUUUUCCUGUUUUGUCUAAAGUGGAAAUUGUCAGUCAUAGUCUAGCAAUAACUGCAGUAUAUCAUGUUUUUCUCAAGGUAAAAUGUUCAUUUACUCUAAGACAGUAGCCCUAGACUGGCUAGAAAAUUGUCAUCCUCGUCUUUAAAGAAGAAUCCCCUUUUCUUGUCAGUCUGGUUUUGAAAAGUUAAUUUGGAGAUUGCUAAUCUUUCUAUGCCAUGCUUGUCUAAUAAUACUAUGAAGUUGUGUGUAAUCCUAUUAUUUUCAAUUUGGUUGUCUUGUUAGAUUUAGCAAAAUUACUUAUAGGUCUGUUCUCAGGAGCUGCCUAUCAAUUCUCACUGUUGAAUUUGGUAACAUGAGCAAUUGACUGAUAAGCUACACUUUUGAGGCUUCUCAUGAAGAUCUGCAUGAUUUAUUUAUUUAAAAAAAACUUAAUUUAUUUCACAGAAACAAUCUGUUUACUAUUCAUAUCACUGUCACGGUGGCGGCUAUUUCAGCUCUUUUUUUCACAUAUCUACCAUCUAUUAUAUUAGUGUGAGAUUUCCUGGUUUGUGUUUGUGUCCUGUUAAAAAAUCCUCAAAUGAAGAGUUCAAGUCUUUGAACAAUUUAAUCUGGAUCAAUGUGAUUUGUUAACCUUGAAAAUUUUCUUUCAACCUUUUGUAUUAAGAAUUACUGAAAAAAGCUUUCCGUGUUUUGCUGCCUGUGCCACGGAUCACCUGCCUUCAGAAAUGCAUAUGAUGCGUUUUCUGUGAUAGUUUUCUUAUAUAACUGGUUUUAACUUUGUUUUUCUUCUUUUUUCUUUUUCCUUUUAUACUGUGCUGUUGUGGAGGAUUCAACUUUUGGUUUGUUUACAGUGUCAAGUAUUGUGAUGUUGACGAAAAUGGAGAACGACACCUGGUAUUUUGUCGUGUAAUAAUGGGAAACAUGGAGCUUCUUCACUCUGGGAGUCGGCAGUUCCAUCCUAGUAGUGAAAAUUUUGAUAGUGGAGUGGAUGAUCUUGAAAGUCCAAGAGAGUAUAUAGUCUGGAAUAUGAAUAUGAACACCCACAUUUAUCCGGAGUUCGUUGUUAGUUUCAAGAUUUCUUCCACCACUGAAGGUGAUAUGUUACUUCUUCUAGAGGUGUUAGUUUUGGCAUGAAUUAUUUAAACAUGCACACAAAUGCAUGUAUGACAUAUAUAUAUAUACACAUACAUAUAUGUAUAUAUACACACAUACAUAUAUGUAUAUAUAUACACAUAUGUGCAUGUAUGAAUUUGUCUUUUAGGAUUGGAAUGAAAUCUUUGCUCGUGUUGGAUUUGUGCUCCU
rnacentral:lncRNA from 1 species